CCUACGGGAGGCAGCAGUGGGGAAUAUUGCACAAUGGGCGCAAGCCUGAUGCAGCGACGCCGCGUGAGCGAAGAAGUAUUUCGGUAUGUAAAGCUCUAUCAGCAGGGAAGAAAAUGACGGUACCUGACUAAGAAGCUCCGGCUAAAUACGUGCCAGCAGCCGCGGUAAUACGUAUGGAGCAAGCGUUAUCCGGAAUUACUGGGUGUAAAGGGAGCGUAGACGGAUGUGCAAGUCUGAUGUGAAAGGCGGGGGCUCAACCCCUGGACUGCAUUGGAAACUGUAAAUCUUGAGUGCCGGAGAGGUAAGCGGAAUUCCUAGUGUAGCGGUGAAAUGCGUAGAUAUUAGGAGGAACACCAGUGGCGAAGGCGGCUUACUGGACGGUAACUGACGUUGAGGCUCGAAAGCGUGGGGAGCAAACAGGAUUAGAUACCCUUGUA
rnacentral:rRNA from 1 species